CAGUUCUACCAGAAAGACUCAGGGAGGUAGAGAUAAGACUGAAGUAUUUAUUUACAACAACACAAAAAAUAUAAUUAUUUUGGCGUAGGCCCCAUCCGUAGCGUGGAUCUGAAGUUUGUAGAUACCAGCUAAUCCUGCCGAAGACGAAGGCAGGGCGGAGCCUACCCCAAAAGAAAGAAGAAUAAUGUAAUACGCACCAGAUGAAGUAUUUCUUAGAGGAUCCUGGAACAUGAACGAAAGAGAUAAAUUGAGAUAAUUAGCCAGACAUAAAAAUACAACAUCAGAUUAUAGCUAAAGUAUUAGCUUAUAUGGCAAUGAAGAUAGACCACAGAGCCUUUGAGAGAGGCCACGAUAGGCCGGACAGUGAGGCAGAGAGACAGGCCACGAUAGGCCGGACAGUGAGGCAGAGAGACAGGCCACGAUAGGCCGGACAGUGAGGCAGAGAGGCAGGCCACGAUAGGCCGGACAGUGAGGCAGAGAGGCAGGCCACGAUAGGCCGGACAGUGAGGCAGAGAGGCAGGCCACGAUAGGCCGGACAGUGGGAACGGCCCCGGCGGGCCACAGU
ensembl:lncRNA